rnacentral:rRNA from 1 species
GAGGCAGCAGCAAGGAAUAUUGUGCAAUGGGCGAAACCUAGACACAGCGACGUCGCGUGGGGGAUAAGGCCUUCGGGUUGUAAACCCUUUUCUCAGGGAAGAAUAAUGACGGUACCUGAGGAAUAAGUCUCGGCUAACUACGUGCCAGCAGCUGCGGUAAUACGUAGGAGGCGAGCGUUAUCCGGAUUUACUGGGCGUAAAGAGGGCGUAGGCGGUUCUUCAAGUCGGAUGUAAAAUCUCCUGGCUUAACUGGGAGGGAUUAUUCGAUACUGUUGGGCUAGAGGGCAGCAGAAGGAGGUGGAAUUCCCGGUGUAGUGGUGAAAUGCGUAGAUAUCGGGAGGAACACCAGUGGCGAAGGCGGCCUCCUAGGCUGUUUCUGACGCUGAGGCCCGAAAGCGUGGGGAGCAAACAGGAUUAGAUACCCUGGUAGUCCACGCUGUAAACGAUGGACACUAGGUAUAGGGAGUAUCAACCCUCUCUGUGCCGAAGCUAACGCUUUAAGUGUCCCGCCUAGGGAGUACGGCCGCAAGGCUAAAACUCAAAUGAAUUGACGG